AAAUUGAAGAGUUUGAUCAUGGCUCAGAUUGAACGCUGGCGGCAGGCCUAACACAUGCAAGUCGAACGGUAACAGGAAGCAGCUUGCUGCUUCGCUGACGAGUGGCGGACGGGUGAGUAAUGUCUGGGAAACUGCCUGAUGGAGGGGGAUAACUACUGGAAACGGUAGCUAAUACCGCAUAAYGUCGCAAGACCAAAGAGGGGGACCUUCGGGCCUCUUGCCAUCGGAUGUGCCCAGA
rnacentral:rRNA from 1 species